rnacentral:rRNA from 1 species
UAAAGCAGCCAUAUCACCCUGCAACUCACAACUGGUAACCCACAGAAGCUAAGCAGGUGUGAGCCUGGUCAGAUAUUUCAGAAUAACCCACAGAAGCUAAGCAGGUGUGAGCCUGGUCAGUACCUGGAUAAGAGACCUCCUGGGAAAAACUAAGGUUGCUGCUGGAA